UACGGAAGGGGCUAGCGUUGUUCGGAAUUACUGGGCGUAAAGCGCGCGUAGGCGGCUCGGCAAGUGAGGCGUGAAAGUCCUGGGCUCAACCUGGGGACUGCGCUUCAGACUGUCGGGCUAGAGUCCGGAAGAGGGUGGUGGAAUUCCGAGUGUAGAGGUGAAAUUCGUAGAUAUUCGGAGGAACACCGGUGGCGAAGGCGGCCACCUGGUCCGGUACUGACGCUCAAGUGCGAAAGCGUGGGGAG
rnacentral:rRNA from 1 species